rnacentral:rRNA from 1 species
CCUACGGGUGGCAGCAGUGAGGAAUAUUGGUCAAUGGGCGUAAGCCUGAACCAGCCAAGUCGCGUGAGGGAUGAAGGUUCUAUGGAUCGUAAACCUCUUUUAUCAGGGAAUAAAGUGCGGGACGUGUGCCGUUUUGUAGGUACUUUAUGAAAAAGGAUCGGCUAAAUCCGUGCCAGCAGCCGCGGUAAUACGGAGGAUCCGAGCGUUAUCCGGAUUUAUUGGGUUUAAAGGGUGCGUAGGCGGCCUGGUAAGUCAGCUGUGAAAGUCCCGGGCUCAACCAUGGAACUGCCUUUGAAACUGGGAGGCUUGAGUAUGUUAGAGGCAGGCGGAAUGCGUGGUGUAGCGGUGAAAUGCGUAGAGAUCAGGCAGAACCCCGAUGGCGAAGACAGCCUGCCAAGCCAUGACUGACGCUGAUGCACGAAAGCGUGGGGAUCAAACAGGAUUAGAUACCCUAGUAGUC